rnacentral:rRNA from 1 species
GUCGUAACAAGGUUUCCGUAGGUGAACCUGCGGAAGGAUCAUUACCACACCUAGAUCCAAGAUCUUUUUUAUUGUGAAUUAGAUGCCGAUUCCGUUUGGGAUUGGUGUCGAAAUUUUGGGUACGUACGUUUUUAAACGCUACCCGUAAAUUUUACCUUUCAACGUGCCUGACAAUAGGAACCGAAACCAAAAGGGGUUUGUUCUGUCUUGAUUGACGAGAGCACCUCUCCAACCUAAUACAUUACAAGUUUCAGCAACGGAUGUCUAGGUUCCCACAACGAUGAAGAACGCAGCGAAAUGCGAUAUGUAAUGCGAAUUGCAAGAUCUCGUGAAUCAUCAAUAUUUUGAACGCACAUUGCGCUUCCGGGAUUUUCCCUGAAGCAUGCUUGUCUGAGUGUCAGCAAAACCAACUCAGCGCUGAUGAAGUGUUUCGGCACUUUGAUGUUAGCUGCUGGAGUAUGGUAGUGCCAUAUUGGGCUCUACCGAAAUGCAUGCUGUCUUUUGUUCAGUAUGAAGACUGUGCUCUGUACAGCCUCUAGUAGUUAAUACGAGAGCAACUGUUUGUAGAGUACGUGUCAACCUAUUUUCUGAUCUCAGCUCAAGCAAGAGGACCCGCUGAAUUUAAGCAUAUAAUUAAGCGGAGGAAAAGAAACUAACUAGGAUUCCCUCAGUAAGGGCGACUGAAGCGGGAAUAGCUCACGAUGUGAAUCUGCGCUUUGCGCCGAAUUGUGGUCUGUAGACUCUUGCGUUACUGGCUGGGCCAAGUCCCUUGGAACAGGGCAGCUGAGAGGGUGAGACUCCCGUCCGCCUAGCCCUUGGAGCGAGUGUCAACGAGUCGAGUUGUUUGGGAUUGCAGCUCAAAGUGGGUGGUAAAUUCCAUCUAAAGCUGAAUAUUGGUGGGAGACCGAUAGCGAACAAGUACCGUGAGGGAAAGAUGCAAAGAACUUUGAAAAGAGAGUUAAAGAGUACCUGAAAUUGCUGAAAUGGAAGCGAAGGAAACCAGUGUUAGCUUCGUCAUACUUCCCCACCCGCUUGCGGUUGGGGCGCUGUGGCCAGCGUUGUCAGUUUUGGUUGGUAUGGUUGGAAUUCUUGCCUAGGGAGUUGACCUUGGCUUGGUGCAAUCGUUCCGACUGAGAUUGACGAAAUGGUUUUCUUUUUCCCGUCUUGAAACACGGACCAAGGAGUCUAACAUAUGUGCGAGUACAGGGGUGUCAAACCCUGGUGCGCAAUGAAAGUGACAGUGGCUGGAAUUUUGCACAGUCCGCCGGCCUCAAUCCUUCGGGAGAACGGUCUGAGUGUGAGCAUACAUGUUGGGACCCGAAAGAUGGUGAACUAUGCGUGA